UUGUCUCGAAGAUUAGAAACAUAGAGCAGUGUAGUAUUUUUUUAGGACAAACAGAGUAGUGCGUGUGAAUCCAUUAACAAGCAACAGAAUAAUUACAUAUGAUAGGCCAAAAAACCACAGCAAGGAACAUUAUAAAGAAGCUACAGGCUACAGCGAUAAACAACACGUAUGCAUAAAUAUUGCAAGGAAAAGGGAACAAAAUUAUUAUCAAGUAGGCAAGGCAAGAAGGUAUCCAACAUCAGGCUACUAUUUGUACGCAAGAAAUCAGAACUCCAAAACAAAAUGAGUUAUCGAGUGUUUGAUACAUCAUACUAAGACUGCUCAUGUUUAGUGUCUAAAAUCACAUCAGAUUCAGCACCAGUCACCUGAAAUACUACAGAUGAAAUGUUACCUGUAGAACGAUACCACUCAGAUAGCCAUAAUGUGAACACUCUGUAACUUCCUCAGGAAUGUUGCUUUCUGCCUAACCAUACUUUCUAACAACACUAACAAAGUUGAAUACUAAACUUAAAAUGUUAUCAGGACAACUGGUAAGGGAAAAAAAAUCCCAGCCAUUAUGCUGGACAUGGAAUGUCGGUGUAUUAGACCGGCAACCCGCCUAGGGGUACCCUAGGUGGUCUUUUAUGCGGUAAGGAUCAUCGAGAAUCAAGGAAUCAAUGGUGACGCAAGGAACACGAUUUAGACAGGUUCGGACCGCUAGAUCGCGUAAUACCCUACGUCCUGUGUGUUGGUUUGUAGUGAUCUAUGUUCUGGUCUUAAGGAUUGUGUUUGAGGAGGGUCCCUGCCCGGCCUUAUAUACCCGGGAGGGCAGGGUUACAAGUCUGAAUCCUAGUCGGGUACUAUUACAGAGUUCUACUCGGUAUUGGCCCGAGUAGUUUUCCAUAAAUAUACAAGACUAGUCCGAGAAGGAUACGCAUAUCCUUGUUCUAAUCUUGUCCGAGUACGUCCCUUAGUGGGCCGUCCAAGGCCUACUCGUGGGCCUGGGGAGCAUGCCCGACAAGCUCCCGAGUACUUUGUAGUCGUGCGCCACAUUCUUGGGUACUGCAGGCACCAUCCGAGUAGCUUGGUCGUAGAGGUAGAUUGAAGUGCACGAGUACUGUCGCGCGGCUGGAAGGUACUCUUUUUGCUUCUCCGAGUUGUUUCCGUCCCGAGUAAUUUUUAUAUGGUAGUGCGAUGUCAAUCGCACUCCAUAUGGAGUAGCCCCCGAGCCUUAGGUUGAGUCGAAGAGUCAGGCUUAGGGUCAAACCAGCUUUUGUCCAUUUUACCCUCGGAGAUCUUGAAAAAGAAAAAACUGACCAACGGGUACGGUACCCGCAGCCCCCGAGCACUUAGGCGAUUUCUGUCGUUGAAGUGGUCAGUAGUCCGUUGAGUAGAGUAGCCGUUGGGUGUUUAAGGCGAUUAAUACGCGAUUAAUCUGUCCGUUGCGUAACUGACGCGUCGAAACCGGAGCUGGCGGAGAUAAAUCUGGAAAACCCCUUUUUGGUUGCUGUUACGCCGCACGGGCAUUAGAUCUGUUCUUCUUUUUCCUCUGCUCCUCCUCUCCGCAUUUUGCCUCCGUGAAAACCGUCGCCGCCGCCAUAGCCCCGCUUUUUGGAGAAAGAUCCGAGUGUGAGCCCCCUCUUAUCUUGAGGUUGAGUCCAUCGAAUGCGCACCAAGAAGAUGGGCAAGAAACCCGAGAAGAUCCAAGGCAAGGCUCCGGCGACGGGCAAGGUCAAAUCCAAGAAGGGGAAAGAGUUGGUGCUGCCAGCGCCGAAAGUGGGGCGGACGGACCAAACUGCGCCGCCGCCACCUGGGGUGACUUGGCAACACUCGGUGAUGAAGGAAGAAGCUGUUCAAGCACUAGUUGAUGCCAAGCUCCUUCAGCCGAAGAAGAUCCUUGAGUGGCGCCCUGCGUUUCCCAACGCGUGGCAGUUUGAGGAACAUCCUGCCGAGACGGUGAUGCUUGCUCAUUUUGUGGAAAGGGGACUGGCGGUGCCCACCUCCGACUUCUUCAAAGGUAUUCUCGAGUACUACAAUCUUCAGCUCGUCCACUUGAAUCCUAAUGGUGUACUGCACAUGUCUAUAUUUGUACAUCUGUGCGAAGUUUAUCUGGAAGUACCUCCAAGUCUUGAGUUGUUUAGGAAGCUGUUCCGUUGCAAGCCUCAGCCGAGUGCCCAGCGGACGGAAGUCUUUGGAGGCGCCGGGUUCCAACUCAGGAACUCGAAUGUGUAUAUUGAGUAUAAUCUGACCGACUCCCAUGGGGAUUGGAAGAAAAGGUGGUUCUACAUCGGGAACCAUGAUCCUCGCUUGCCCAUGAUGACUGGUCACGCGUCCAAGCAUGCGGAAAACUGGGUAAGCGAGCCCGAGGAUACCCCAGAGCUCGAUCACCUGAUGCAGCAGAUUACCGAGUUGAAAGUGCUCGGUUUGACUGGGAUCAACGUGGCGGCCAGCUUCCUGAAGACAAGGGUCCAGCCACUUCAAAAACGUGCUCACUCGGGAAGUGAGUACGGAGGUCUGAAGGAUCCAUCGCGUAUGUCUGAUGAGGACAUAUCUGAUGAUGACGUAGAGGCGCUGCUGGCCAAGUUUUUUAGGAACUAUCAGGGAGUACCAGUAAUCCCUGCAGCCCUUCGUCAGUAUGACGCCUGGUACGAGCCAGAAGUGGUAAGUAUUUUCCUCCUGACUUCUUCUUCUUUAACUUGUGAUUCUUGUUGCUGAUACCGAUUUGUUGUUUGAAGUCCCGAGUUCUUGCCGGCUACUUGGUGCAAUCGGAAGAAGAGUCGGAAGCCGUUGUCGAGGAGUCGGAGGACGAGCCUUCUCCUCCUGUCAAGAGACGUAGAGUAGUCCGCAAGAUAUCUGCGGCUAAGUCUACUUCAACCCCUGAGAAGUCUCGGGUAUGUAGUCGGUAACUUGUGUAUUACUCACAAACUUGAAAUUCGUUAUUGAUUCGGUGAAUCUUAUCUUGGUUCGCGAAGGCUGUAGAUGAGGCUGUUUCUGAAGAAAUGGCCAUGUCCGACCCUGAAGUCGGUGAUGCGGCUGUUGACACAGUGCCAGAGAGGCUGCCAUCAACAGAAACUGUGGUAGCCUCUGGGUUAACCGCGCCAACUCCGUCGGCCGCCAUGCCGCCCAUUGCUGACCAGGCGGUCCUGGGGCUGCCCGCUGGAGUAGCGGGUACGGCGAAGGAGGUGUCACCAGUAUUUGCUACUGGUACCUUGCUGUCCAAUGUGAUCGCCAGUGGUAAGCGUUGUCCCUUCCGAUUGUAGUCAUUUGAGUAGUACUGUAGUCUUGACUUCGGUUUUGUAGGUCUUGGUGAGAAGACGGUGCCGGCGGCUAUUCCCGCGGCUCCUAGUACGCAGCCGCCUGUCGCUGAGAAGAAACGUGUGCGACUGCCGCCACGCUCAACCCGGUGAGCUUUUAUUUCUUUUUGAAUGACGUUGGGUUUGUCUUGGAGUCAUGCAGUGACACUUUGUUGGUGCAGGGAUGCAGAGGAGACUAUCCCUGUAGAGACAGGGAUAGUGCCGAAACCUUUGACUACAGCAUCUAUUCCUCUGGAGGACUUCAUUGUUGAAGAGGUACCUGAGGUUGACGUCGGCCGUCUUGGAGCUACUAUGUCAAUGCUGCAAGACGUAAUUCGCUCAGUGGAGGUUCCUGCUACGGCAUCAGGUUCAGGAAGCGUUGCUUUGUCAUCAUCUACUGGCGGAUCGGUGGCCGUAGUAGAUGUUGGAAAAGCCAAACAGGCGACUGCUCCUGGUAAGUGCCUGUAGUCUGUUUAUUGUAGUCGUAGUUGGUAGCUGACAUGGUGAAUGUUGUAGGUGCUGCUCUGGGUACGAUUCCUCAUCUUGUGGAGAGUACCCAAAGGCCGGUACUCAGUCUACCUUCUGACUUGGAGUUCCAGAGGGCCAUUGAUGUUUUCCGGGGCUUCCAGGUAGAUAUCCCUGUUGAUGUUGUUGCAUGACACGAGUUGCUGUGAGGCUUAAGGCCCUGUUUGUGUACGCUUUUCUGGAACUCGCUUAUCUGGCAAGCAAGCUUAUUUGAUAAGCCUGCUGCCUGGAGAAUCUGCUGUCUGAAUAAGCAGGGUGUUUGGCAAUCCUGAUUAUUUUGUGUCGAUUGUCUGUCCAGGUUGGUAAAUUGACCUGAAUGCCCUAAAGUUGAUAAUAGCUCAUUUUUAUUGUGAAUAUGAGGGGCUAAGCCCGACGGCGGGGGCUAAGCCUGUCGACGAGGGCCAAGCCUCCAGGGGCCAAGCCCGACGGCGGCGGCGGGGGCACGCCCGGCGGACGGCAUCCGGCGUCGGUUGCAGGGGCGGCGGCGGCGGACAGGAGCCGGCGGCGGGGGCCAAGCCGCCAGGGCCCAAGCCCGGCGGACAGCACCGGCGUCGGUUGCAGGGGCGGCGACGGUGGACAGGAGCCGGCGGCGAGGGCCAAGCCGCCAGGGGCCAAGCCCGGCGGACGGGAGCCGGCGGCGGUCCCAGGAGGCGCGAGGGCGGCGGCGGCGGACGAGAACCGAGCGCCGACAUCGGGAUCUGCAGGCGGCGGGACCCGACGAUGGGAUCUGGCGGCGAACGGGAUCGGGCGGCGGACUGGAGCCAGCGGUGCUCGCGGGAGGCGCAGGAGCGGCGGCGGCGGUGGGCCAAGCCUGGUGGCGGGACCCGGUGGCGGUCGGGAGGCGGCGGCGGGCGAGGGAGGCGGCGGCGGUCGCGGGAGGCGCGGGGCGGAUGACUGGAGCGUCGGUGGUGAGGGGCAGCGGGGGGAAAUUUCCUUCGCUUAUUGGAGAAGCGUCUCCCGGCCCGCUUACACAAUAAGCCGGAUGCUAGUUGUUUCCCAGCUUGUGCACUAAGCGGCUUACGUAGCAAGCGGGAAAUAAUCAAAGUGUUUGGGUGGGCUUAUGGCUUAUUUCCACCGAUAAGCAGGAAAUAAGCGGAUACAAACAUGGCCUAAGACUCACCAUACCCUACUUGGAUGUUUUCAGGAAAGAAGCCAUCAGUUGGAGCAGGAAUGUGCCCGACUGACAGAAGCUCUUCGGGUGCAUGAAGUCGGGGCGAAGUUCUUUUCCGUGGAACGCGUGGAUCACGCGGUUCUGCAGGAAAAAUUGGAGAGCCGCUACAAGUCCUUGAACAAUAAGUAUCAAGGUAAGCAUUGCGACUACUUUGGGUGUGUCCAACUGUAGUUGGCUGUGGCCUGAGUUCUUUGUUUUGUAGAGCUCAUGAAGCAGGAAGCGGCUGCAAGGAGCCAAGUUAUUGAUUGGAGGAAUGCUCAUGACCGAGUGGCAGAUGAAGCCAAACAUCUUGGGGCCGCGCUCACGGAAGCUCAGGCUGCUUGCGAGCAUCAGUGGGACCGAAAGAUGCAGAAUGGCGUGCUGCUUGCCAUGGCCAUGGUGGCAUGCAGAGAUCAUGCCCAGACCUUCGGAACGCUUUGGGGUGAACUCCGAGAGCUGUCUGGAGCGGUCGAAGACUUGUUGUAUGCCAUAGCCCCCGUGGAGGAAAGCGCAGGACCGCAAUCGCUAGUAGAGCGACUAAGAGCUGCCCCGAGUAAAGUGGCGGAACUUUGCAAGACUGUUUGCAAACAGGUGCUUGCGGUUGUGAAGUCCUACUACCCGAGGGUAGACUUGGCGGCAGCAGGUGAUGGCGUUGCUCGCAACUGCACAGAGGAGACCUAUGCGUGGUACCUCGAGGAGGCGGAGCCUAUUGCAUCCAAGAUGUCGGAGUUUGUCUCCUUAGAAGAGUUUUAAGCUGCUUGUGUAAUCUUGUAUCCGAGUACAUUGAUAUUUUGAAAUGCCAAGCCUUUGGAUUUGUUGUCGUUGUCUUGCAAAGAGUAGUUUUUACUCCAUUUUGUCGAAUCUCGAAGUAUUGCACCUCUGCCGGGCCCGACCCUCUGGGGAGGGGAUUCGUCUCGCUCGACCCUGAGUUUUGGGGUCGGCUAAAUCUGACCUUGUCGAGGGUAAAAAUUCCGUCUCGCCCGACCUCGAGUCCUGGGGUCGGGAGAGCCGGACCCCUGAGCGAGACUCCGCGUCGUCCGACCCCGAGCGAGAUUCCGCUUCGCCCGACCACGAGGCCUGGGGUCGGCGGAGCCCGACCCUUUGGAAGGGUAGCUCCGCCUCGCCCGACCCUGAGUGAGGCUUCGCCUCGCCCGACCGAGAGUUCGGAGUAGUCGAAGCCCCCGACAUGUAGGCUGUGCUUGGCUUGGAGUCCCGAGUGUCGAGUAGUUGUAAUGCUGUUUGAGUACUCGUCUUUUUGGGGGACACGGGUGUACUAUACUCGUCUGUCCUUUGCGAAUGUACGGGUGUACUGUGCUCCUUUGUCCUUUGCGGAUGCACGGGUGUACUGUGCUCCUUUGUCCGUUGCGGCAUGAGUGCAGUCACAUGGGCAGAGUCAGGAGUUGUCAGACUCAUUGAUCACGGGUGCACAGUAACUCUUGGGCCGGUGGUAGUUGUGGCUUUCGGCUAUAAAUAGGGCUAUCUGGUGGGCGAACCAACUCAAGCUCCUGAGUAGCGAUGGAUUGCCUGCGGUUGCUUCUGUUUGAGUGUAGAGAACCAUCAAAGAGUGCACCGGUGCUAGAAGAUUCCUCGUAGAUUGAGGCCACCUUCGCUCCACAAACUCCUGCGCUCGUAGGGAUAGCCGCGAUGCUAGAAGAAUCCUUGUAGGAGGUUUCAUCGCACGCCUCAUCUUGCAGCUCCUGGUUCAGUGGAGUACGCGCUGGAACUCGCGAGUGAUGGGUGAUGAGUGCCGCGCUCUUCAUCCCGCUCUGAAAGAGGUGGAGGUGCGGCCGUAGAGUAGAUGGGCUUCGCAAGGCUAGCAAAAGAGCAGCCUUGGUUCCCUCUAGGCGCGUCUUGCCGGAUUUGGCGUUGCGCUGUCCAGGCGAUGGCGGUGAUGGAGUAUCUGGCAGUGCCUUGGGUAGGAUACCUGGGCGUGGCUGCGUUUUGCGCAGCUUCCUUGCGUGUAGGCCCUUCGUGCGGUCGGCAAACCUAAGUGGCCUUGUGAUAUAGUAAAAGCCUGAGGCUUAAAUGCAGCCCGCCAGUAGGCAGUUGCUUGUAGUCUUCGUGUAAGCCGAGUCCUUGUACUCGUAUGUAACUUGAUGUACUCUUGUUUCAGUAAAGAUUGAUAUGAAGAUUUUGUAUCAGGGCAAGGAUCCUUGUUGUACUGAUAGCUCGUCGAAGCGAACACCCCUUGACGCCGGUAAUCGGGUGGUCGUCCCGAGUAGUUGCCUUGAAGUGAGUACUCGAGUGUUGCUAUCGGUAAUAGCGACAGAGGUGUUCUAUAUUCCAGGAGUUUGGCACCUGUUCUCCUGAAAGCUCUUGGAGUCUGUAAGAUUCAGGUCCUAUAACCUUUGAUACGAUGUAAGGACCUUCCCAUGGUGAAUUGAGUUUAUGUAAUCCAGACGUGUCUUGAAUACGUUUAAGAACCAUAUCGCCCAAGUUGAAAGAUCUUUCCUUGACGUUGCGGUCAUGAUAACACCUUAAACCGUCAAGGUAUCUGGCAGAUUGCACUAGUGCUGCGCAUCUUGUUUCUUCCAAACUGUCUACAUCCGUUCGCCGCGUUUCUAUUGCAAGUUCUUCGUCGUAGUGCUCAACGGAUGGUGAUUGCCACAUUAUAUCGGCGGGUAAUAUGGCUUCCGAACCAUAUACCAGAAAAUAGGGUGAUAGUCCCGUAGUCUUGCAUGGUUGGGUACGUAGGCCCCACAAGGCAUUGGGUAACUCUUUGAGCCACCGGCCGCCUUUGGUGUUGCCGACGUCAUGUAGUCGUUUCUUCAGAGCGUCGAGUAUCAUGCCAUUAGCUCGCUUGACUUGUCCGUUGGCUCGCGGAUGAGCAACCGAGACAUAGCAGACGUCAAUGCUGCUGUUCUCGCAAUAUUCCCAAAAGUCGUGAUUAUUGAAGUUUGACCCGAGAUCUGUGAUAAUCCUGUUGGAAAAACCAUAGCGGUGUACGAUUUCAUCCAAGAAGUCGAGGACUCGGUCUGCUUUGGGGCAAGUGACCGGUUUGACCUCGAUCCAUUUGGUGAACUUGUCAAUUGCCACGAGUACUCUGUUGAAUCCUCCUGGUGCAGUUGGUAACGGGCCAAUCAUGUCAAGCCCCCAGCAGGCAAAUGGCCAUGUUGGAGGUAUUGUGACUAGCUUGUAAGCUGGCACAUGUUGCUGUUUUGUGAAGAAUUGACAAACUUUGCAUUUCUGAACCAGUUGUUUAGCGUCGGCCAAAGCCAUUGGCCAGUAGAAGCCCGCUCUGAAACCUUGCCAAUUAGUGUCCUUGAAGAUGCGUGGUUGCCGCAGAUUCCUCUGUGAAUCUCUUCUAGGAUUUCUUGGCCAUCUUCUCUGGUGACGCACUUUAUGAGUACUCCAGUUGAUGCAUCUUUCCUGUAGAGCUUGUCUCCGACUAGAAUGUAAUUCUUUACACAUCGGGAGAUUUGCUCAGCUUUAUUCCUAUCGGAUGGGAGCUGGUGAUCUUUGAUGUAGUCGAUGAAGGGUGUCCUCCAGUCGACUUCUAUCAUCAUAAUUUCUCGGGAGACGUCAGUAGUCGGGACUACUGGCUUGCGUAAUUUGUGUACGAAAAUUCCUGCUGGAACUUCUGCACGAGUUGAGCCCAUUUUGGAUAAAACGUCGGCGGCAACGUUGUUGUCGCGAAUGAUGUGAUGGAACUCCAAGCCGAAGAAUUUGUUUUCCAGUUUACAGACUUCUUUGCAAUAAGCGUCCAUGUUGUCCUUGUUUCGGUCCCACUCGUCAUUGACUUGGUUUAUAACGACUAGGGAGUCGCCGUACACUAGAAGUCGUUUGAUGCCGAGGGAGAUUGCGAGGCGAAGGCCGUGUAGCAGAGCUUCGUACUCGGCUUCGUUAUUAGAUGCUUCCUAGAAUAUCUACAGUACGUACUUGAGUUAGUCUCCCUUGGGGGAGAUGAGUAAGAGGCCUGCGCCGGCCCCUUCAAGUUUGAGGGAUCCGUCGAAGUACAUUACCCAAUGUUCUGGUCGUUCGACUGGAGUUGGAACUUGAUUUUCGGUCCAGUCAGCUAUGAAAUCGACCAAAGCCUGAGACUUGAUGACCGUCCUUGGCUUGAAGCGCAAAGUGAGAGCUCCGAGUUCGACUGCCCAUUUGGAGCUUAUACCCGUGGCAUCUCUGUUAUGGAGAAUUUCGCCGAGCGGGAAAUCGGAGAUGACUGUGAUGUUGUGCUCUUGGAAGUAAUGGCGCAGCUUCCGGGAGGUGAGCAGAAUAGCAUAUAGGAGUUUUUGUAUCGGUGGAUAUCGAGUUUUAGAGUCCGAGAGUACUUUGCUGACGAAGUAGACAGGUCGUUGGACCUUGUAAGUGUGGCCCGGUUCAGACCGUUUGACUACUAUUGCCGUGCUGACAACAUGAGUAGUAGCGGAGAUGUAUAGGAGCAAGUCCUCGUUCGGCGAGGGAGCGGUGAGUACAGGAGGCUUUGACAGAAAGUCUUUGAGUUGUGUAAAUGCCCUCUCUGCCUCUUCCAUCCAUUUGAACUUGUCCUGGCGUUUGAGAAUCUUGAAGAAGGGCAGUCCCUGUUCUCCAAGUCUCGAGAUGAACCGGUUGAGAGCGGCCAUGCAGCCUGUGAGUUUCUGCACAUCUUUAAUGCUGGCUGGUGCCUGCAUGUUUGUGAUGGCAGAUAUCUUCUCCGGGUUGGCCUCAAUGCCGCGAUGGCUAAUGAUGAACCCGAGUAAUUUGCCGGAAGGUACUUCAAAGACGCACUUAGUGGGAUUGAGUUUCAACGGAAAGCGCGGAGACUGGAGAAAGUUUCCUCCAAGUCGGCAAUGAGUUCCUCCCGGUGUCUUGUUUUGACGACGACGUCGUCAACAUAAGCUUCGACAUUGCGAUGAAGUUGCUUUUCGAAACACAUCUGUAUAGCCCUUUGGUAAGUUGCUCCUGCGUUCUUGAGUUCGAAGGACAUUGUUUUGUAGCAGAAAGCUCCACAGGGCGUGAUGAACGCUGUUUUGGCUUGAUCUUCCUCUUUGAGGCUUAUCUGAUGAUAGCCGGAGUAGCAAUCGAGGAAGCAUAGCAAGGCGCACCCGGCGGUGGAGUCGACCACUUGAUCAAUCCUGGGUAGUCCAAAAGGAUCUUUCGGGCAGUGUUUGUUGAGGUCGGUGUAGUCGACACACAUUCUCCAUUCGUUGUUUUUCUUACGAACAAGCAUAGGAUUGGCGAGCCAGUCAGGAUGGAAGACUUCCUUGAUGAAUCCUGCCGCGAGUAGCUUGGCUAACUCUUUUUUUAUGGCUUCUCGUCUGUCCUGAGCGAACCGGCGUAGUCAUUGCCGUUUUGGAGUAGCUUUGGGAUCAACGUUGAGAGAAUGCUCGAUCAGUUCCUUGGGCACACCUGGCAUGUCAGCCGAUUUCCAAGCGAAGAUAUCAUGGUUAGCCCGAAGGAAACUGACGAGCGCGAAUUCCUAUUUAGAAUCCAGCCCUGUUCCGAUCAGGGCUGUCUUGGAAGGAUCACCGGUCUGGAGGUCGAUCGAUUUGAAGUCUUGCUCACUGGCGGGUUUAACCUUUGUGGAGCCCGACUUGUUUUUCGGGAUCUCUAGUUCGGUGGGAUGGAGUUUCUUUGAAGCUGUGAAAACUUGCUGCAUGGGACUAGGAGAUUGAGUAGUCGCAGCAAUUUCCACGGCUUCGGUGUCGCACUCGUAGGAUCUCCGGAGAUCUCCUCGUAGUGUGAGUUCUCCUUUGGGACCUGACAUCUUGAGUACCAGGUAGACAUAAUGUGGUAUGGCCAUAAACUUGGCUAGUGCUGGCCGUCCGAGUAUGGCGUGGUAAGAUGUCUCGAAGUCGGCGACCUCGAAUCUGAUGUACUCGGUGCGGUAAUGUUCCUUAGUUCCGAAGGUGACUGGAAUUACAACUUGUCCCAAUGGUAUGGCCACAUUUCCAGGCACAAUGCGAUAGAAAGGUGAAUCCGUUGCGGUAAGCAUUUCAGUGACGUCGAGGCACAUUUUCAUUAAUGUUUUGGCGAAGAUAACGUUGAGGCCGCUCCCACCGUCGAUGAGUACUUUGGUUAACUUUGAACCUGCCACGACUGGAUCCAAGACUAGUGGAAAACGGCCUGGUUCUGAAAAUUUCGUCCAUUGAUCUUUUCUGCUGAAAGAAAUUGCAACUUCCGACCACUUUAGCGGUGUGGGGUCUGUCGGCUCGAUGGCCAUGAUCUCCCUGAGUACGAGUUUGUUAGCUCGCUUGGAUGCAGUGCCGGGAAUGUUGCCAAAAAUGACGUUGACGGUUUUUGAAGCUGGUUGGAAAUCGCCGUCCUUAUCUUCGUCGUUGCGGGCUUUGUUUUUACCCUUAUCUCUGUUUUUGGCGUACUCUUCAGGAGUUGGUGGUGCGGGUAAGUCUUGCAUGACUCAGCGUAUGUUGUAACAGUCUAAUGCGGAGUGCUUGCUAGUCGGGUGCCAUGGGCACUGCUUUUUGAGUAGCUCCGUGAAUGUUGGUCUGUCGUCGUUUCUGCGAUGUCCCUUUUUUCCGGAGCUGGUCAUGGCAGCAACGGUGUUGUCGGGUUUCCUUUUGCGAUUGUGGUUACCCGGAUAGGAGUUCCGAGCAUCAUUGUGCCAAGUCUUAUCUGGUUCAUUGUUGUUGAUGUUGUCGAGUCCGCGGUUACGGUGGGAACCGAACCGUUCUCGUUCUUUGUCUUCUUUAUCGGCCCACUGUUGCACCAUGAGUUUGAGUUCUUUGACAUCGGCUGGUCGUCGGCGACUGAAGUCUUGGUAUGUUCGUCGAUCAUAGAGUCCGUUUUGGAAGCACUUAAUGACGUCUGCUUCAAAGAUGUCCACUAUGGUAGCCUUUUUUUUGAAGAACCAUCGUAGAUAGUCGCGCAGGGUCUCGCCCUCUUUCUGCUUAAUUUGUCUUAAAUCGAUCUUGUUGACUGGUCUAGCCAUGGAGCCGGCGAAGUUGUUGGUAAAAGCCUUUGUCAAGUCUGCCCAAGAGUCAAUGAACUUGGGUUUGAGUGACUCGAGCCAAGUCAGUGGUGCGGGUUCCAUACAUAUGGGGAAAUGAAUGACUUUGGUGUUGUUGUUACCCCCGGCUGCUUGGACGGCUAGUGAGUAACAGCGUAGCCAUUGAACUGGGUCUUACUUGCCGUCGUACUUGGUAAUGCCGGUUGGCUUGAACUUUUCGGAUAAUUUUAUUUUCAUUACCCGGUUUGUGAAAGCGGGGAAGUGGUUGUAGCUGUCGACUUCUCGUUUGCGCCGACUGUUGAGGAUUUCUCGUAGAUCGCUGAAGUUGGACAUCUCGCGGAUCUUCCGGGUAGGGCGAAUACUUUUCACCGAGUUGGUGCAGCUGACUUCACCCACAUCCUUCUGUUGAGUAGGAGCUUUAUGCUUGCUUGGACCUUGGCUGUGUUGCCGGGGUUGGUUGACUGCAUCAUCGUUUCGCGGGGCGACAUUUUUAUCUGCAGCCCCCCUACUUCCAUCUUGAUGCGAUGUAAUGCGAGGAACGGACGGUAUUGGUGAUUCUUUGUCAAGUAGCUUGUAAGCUUGCUCCGCGAGUUGUGCAAUUAGUCCGUUGCCACGCUGCUCGAGUUGAGCUGUGGCUGCGUUAUCCUUAUCUUGAGGCAUCAAUGUCGUUAAGAGGUUGAUUGAAGCGAUAGCCGCAAAGUGGAGUAUUGUGCUCCUGAGCCUGGAUUGCGUUGAAAGCCCGUUCAAGAUUUGUAAUAGGAAUAUUUGUAGCCAUCGACUGUCGUCGCUCAGCUCGAGUGGCAUUGCGCGCCCUUCGUUGGUUGCGCUGUUCGGGAGUUUCAUUGUCGAUUGUAGACUCAUCUUCAGAGAUGUUGUCGACUUGUGCUAGUCGCCUGGGGGUUCUAUUUUGGCUAGUACCCGGAUUGUUAUUCUGAGUAAUAACAAGUAUCUCCCUGUCCGGGUAGUAGCUUCCGGAACUUGAUGUAGCAAUCUCUGUAUAGCUUUGUUCGUGGUUGGACGUAAGUGGAAUGCCUUCUUGAUAUGGCAGGUUGUCUAUAUGGGCGACGAGGCAUGAGUCGUAGUCACGGUCGAGAAAAGAUGAUCGCAAUCCUGGCCAGUGGACGAAUCUGCCUUGUGGUGUCGAAGUUAUUACCAACCCUUGGGCUGGGCCAGAUAAUGGUAUCUCUGGUGAGUAGGAUGAGUCGGAGUCAACGUCCUCAUCCUGCCCGAGUUCAACUCGGGUUCGAGCAAGAAAACCUUGGUAGAGUUUUGUCGCGUUGCGGAGUCCGUGCGGGAAUCGCUUUGAAGUCGAGACUGAUUUGGAUGCUGACUGGGGCCGCCGAAUCCGAAGCGAGUCCGACCCUGAGUCCAGGGGUCGGCUGAGCCCGACCCUUUGAGGGAGUAGCUCCGCCUCGCCCGACCCUGAGUGAAAAUCCGCCUCGCCCGACCCCGAGUCCUGGGGUCAGGAGCGCCGGACCCUUCGGAGGAGUAGUUCCGCCUCGCCCGACCCCGAGUCCUGGGGUCGGGAGAGCCUGACCCCUGAGCGAGACUAUGCCUCGCCCGACCCCGAGGCCUGGGGUCGGCAGAGCCCGACCCUUUGGAAGGGUAGCUCCGCCUUGCCCGACCCCGAGUGAGGCUACGCCUCGCCCGAGCUUGAGUCCUGGGAUCGGCGGAGCCCGACCCUUGAGCGAGAUGUUGGAGUAGUCCGAGGCGAAGUCGAAUCCGACGCGUAGUCGAACUCGAGCUUGUUGACUUUGAAAUCUUAAUUUUUUUUCUGGUCAAUUCUUCUGGUUUCUUCUCCUGAGUGUCGACGAUCUAGUGCCGGAACGAUCCCGAGCCUUCGGCGACGCAGAGCCAGGAUCCAAAAACGAAGGUGGCGCCGGCUUCGAUGAAGAAGACGGGCCUGAUGAUGACUUUCGCCAUUGAGCUCGCGCUGAGAAACUCGACGAGUCCCCCUACCUAGCGCGCCAGCUGUCGGUGUAUUAGACCGGCAACCCGCCUAGGGGUACCCUAGGUGGUCUUUUAUGCGGUAAGGGUCGUCGAGAAUCAAGGAAUCAAUGGUGACGCAAGGAACACGAUUUAGGCAGGUUCGGGCCGCUAGAUCGCAUAAUACCCUACGUCCUGUGUGUUGGUUUAUAUUGAUGUAUGUUCUGGUCUUAAGGAUUGUGUUUGAGGAGGGUCCCUGCCCGGCCUUAUAUACCCGGGAGGGCAGGGUUACAAGUCUGAGUCCUAGUCGGGUACUAUUACAGAGUUCUACUCGGUAUUGGCCCGAGUAGUUUUCCAUAAAUAUACAAGACUAAUCCGAGAAGGAUACGCCUAUCCUUGUUCUGAUCUUGUCCGAGUACGUCCCUUAGUGGGCCGUCCAAGGCCUACUCGUGGGCCUGGGGAGCAUGCCCGACAAGGAAUAAAUAAAUACAUCACCGGGCAAGUUUUUUUACUUUCUUCUUCUAAGUGAAUGCAAUGUGAUAGUACUCAGUCCUUAAACAAUGCAUGCUACGGAAAUUUCAUAGCAACAGAUGAGAUACCCACCUAGCAAUCAACUAAAUGUUUUAGUUCACUGAGCAAUGUUAUUGAAACAUCAAGUGUUAGAAUUGGGAGCUCAUAAUACUGUAGAACGGUACCAAUAACAAGUAAGGACAUCUUAUCCAAUUCAGCGUAACUACUAAAUUAAAGAGUAAGUAAACAAUUGUCUGCAACAAAUUUGCCAAAAAGUAAAGGUUUUGUGCCUUGUACCAUGUGCAGACGAUAAUAACAACAUUUUAUCAACAAGAAAAAAUUUGGACUGCAGACUACAACAAAAGAAAAGGCACCAAAAAUUUUCCCUUAGAUAUUUCGGACAAAUCAACAACAUAGCCAUCACUAGCUAAUAGUAGUAGCUACAAUUUCGAGUUGAGUGAGAAACUCACAACCUAUGCCUAUGUGAUCAUAUCAUAUGCUCAUUGACUCAUUUUGGUUCAACAGCAUAAGUAACUCUUUCAUGGUAUUCCCCACGUGCAUAACCAGGUAAAAGCUAAAAGAGGAGGGAAAAAAUGUGCAGGUGAACAGCCAGACAUGCAUAAAAGACGGCUAUAAAAAUUUGGUACUUCCACUACUGAAUAUCAAAGCCACUAACUAUCUCAGGUAAACUAUUACAAAGGGAUGCUUUGCCAUCAAAUGAAGCACUAGCAACAAUCAAGAACCAUCUCGAAUGGAGCUAUCUCAAUCCUUGAUCAGUUUUACUGCAGUAGCUAGACUAACUACUAAGAUAUAAAAUCCAUGGACAUGUUUUGCAUUUCUACUAGCACGGAUGAUGAGUCAGUUCUAAAUUUGUCAGUGUGUUUACCAAUUUAGCCCUCAAUCAGCAACUACUAGGAAGCAGCCAUCACCCGAAAGCAGGUUUUCAGCACUCUGCAGUCAUUUCUAUCGGGAUCGCACGAUCCACCGUUACGUAGGAAUGCAACUCGCUACGUCAUUCAAUUCGUAACUGCCACAUGGUUGCCGACGAAACAUCGUGGUUUUUAGC
rnacentral:lncRNA from 1 species